UUUAAACUGUACUGGAAUUAACAUGACGUUUUAAAUUAAACUAAUUGAUCAUCUCAGCAAUAAGGUAUCUUUUUCUGCCAUUUUUUUGACUACUAAUUCUAGCAUGUCUAGAAUUAGUAUGACAUAGAUAGAUAGAUAGAUAGGUAGAUAGAUAGAUGGAUAGAUGCGUACCUACAUACAUACAUAGAAACAUACUAUUUUAAAUAAUCUGCUCCGGACAUAAACCAUUCCUCCAGCUCAUAAAGUCUUGCAGUUGGCAGUCAUUAAAACCUUCAGGCUCCAAAAUAUAUACAUUGCAGCAAGAUUCAACUCAUCUUUUAAAUAUUCAAUAAUUUAUUCGAUGAUGUUUUCUGUAGAAGUUUGGCUUUGAAGUCAAACACUACUUAACCAUACCAGUCUGUGAUUUUCCAGUUUCCUGCUGACUUUUUAAGAGAAUUUAACAAAAAUUACAUGAGGAUCUAUUUAUCUUCAUUAUGUUUUUGUUAUAAGUCAGAGGACUCCUGCAGCCUCUCUCAUGAGAAGACCAUUUUAACUGCAACUUCUACUGUGCUAACUGGUGCUUGAGAGCCACUGAGGCACUUCAGACACUUAUGAUAUUCUCCAAGGGCUGCAAUGUAUUCCAGCAACUGCUUUGACAAAGGGCAUCAGAACAAUGGAGUAUCUUUGCUUUAAUAAAGCAAAUGUUGCAGUCCUUAGCCUGGAGAGUAUGUUGAGCAUUUACAGACCUCUCUGGAGUAGUGCAGACUUCUCUGGACAACUGUGAGCAACUAAGCCAAAACACCUUGUUAGCAAGUGGCUUGGAUGUAAAUCAUUAUAAUCUGCUGCAGAUAGCAGGCUGUAUCACUGCUUUACUGUUGGAAACAGCAGAAAGCACUCCUUGUUAAGUAGUUGGGAAAUGUAUAUAAUUUCCCUGCUCAAGCAGUUUGAGGUCUUUAAUAGGUUCAUUCACAAUUUCCAAGUACAGGUUGCUCCUUCUAGGAAUUCUGCCUUAAGAUAAGGAUGCGAGUAGUGUAUACUAAACAGCAUAGCUAUGAACUUGCAUGUAGUAGGUUUGAUGAAGUAAGCUUCUUGCUUAUCUUAAUCUAUCAAGUAUAGAGAAAAGAACUCCUCUGAGGGAAGUGGACAGAUUAAUACAUAUUCAGAUUUCAGCUAUGUUGGCCUACCAGUGCUGGUCUGCUAGAAUCAGUUUAACGUGCAUAAUAUGGUAAAAGCAUGACAGAAGUUUUAUAGGUGCUGGUGUCUACAAUGAAUUGAAGUUUGUGUAGUUAUAGCUGUGGGCACUGAUCAACACUCCACUAACAGAUUUUUAAAAUAUGAAAGAAUAAAUAGAAAAAAAAAAAAAAAA